GACGAGGUGGCCGAGUGGUAAAGGCGUUGGACUGCUAAUCCAAUGGGCUCUGCCCGGGUCGAAUCCAUCCUCGUCG